GUCUUUUCUAAGGGUCCCUGGGCUCCAUCAUGUCAUAGGUCCCUCUGGAUCGCUGCCGUAGACGUUUUGCUGCUGUGACCUGUCUGCUUUCCAGCUGCUUCAACUACAUGCAUCAAUCUCAUCUCUGUCCACCUCUCUCUUUCUGCAUCUUUCUUCCUCUAUCCCCUCUCAAAACCCAAUGCAGAUGACUGUCUUACAUGACUCUGGUUCUGCUCAAGGUUUCUGCCUGUUGAAAGGAAACGUUUCCUGUCCAUGGUAGGCUUCAGUGAUAUACCUAUUUAUGUCUAAAGAGGCCUAAUGAUGCCCAAUGAUAAUAUACUGAAAAGUCACCCCCCUGUGAUGUGUGUAUGAAUUGAAAAAUGAGCCAUGGUACAUAAGAAAACUUAUUUUUAAUCAGGUUGUAUUUAUGUCUCAUUGCUGAAAUGGAUAUUUUAGGAUAAGAUCUAACAGUCCAAAUAAACUCUCCAGGAACAGCAGCUUUUUGCCUCUUGGAGUUGGCUUUAUUUUCAACACAGCCAUGCCUCUAAUUUGCCUAAUUAUGCAACUCUUGGCAUACAGUUGACAUGAAUUAAGAAAUAAAGAAUGAAGACCAAAAACCAUUUAUAAAUGUGUUCGACUCUGCUGUAGAAAUGAGCAUUCAAUUUGGACUUAAUGGGGUUUCAUUGGCUUUAAAUGGACAAUCAAUUUUUUUUUACUUUUUUGGCUCCAUUUUUCAAGAUUGUCCAGGAUGAAUUUUAAUGUUCUUGAAUAUUGGAAGAUUGAAAGUCCAUGUUAUGAUAGGUAAAUCUGAGUGUGAGGGCCAUUGCUAGGACCAUAAAUUAUUAAACGUCUUGUGCCAAAGCUUAAGGUGGUUUCUUGGAUUGCUGGUGCCCGAAUGACCCAUGUGGUGUGUGUGUGUUUGUGUGUUACAGGUCACACAUUAGCCCGAGG